CCUACGGGUGGCAGCAGUGAGGAAUAUUGGUCAAUGGGCGCAAGUCUGAACCAGCCAAGCCGCGUGCGGGAUGAAGGUUCUAUGGAUUGUAAACCUCUUUUAUAAGGGGAUAAAGUGUGGUACGUGUCCUGGGUUGUAAGUAUCGUAUGAAUAAGGAUCGGCUAACUCCGUGCCAGCAGCCGCGGUAAUACGGAGGAUCCGAGCGUUAUCCGGAUUUAUUGGGUUUAAAGGGUGCGUAGGCGGCUCUAUAAGUUAGCGGUGAAAGUCUGUGGCUCAACACUAGCAUUGCCGUUGAUACUGGCGGGCUAGAGUUUAGUUGCGGUAGGCGGAAUGCGUGGUGUAGCGGUGAAAUGCUUAGAUAUCACGCAGAACACCGAUUGCGAAGGCAGCUUACCAAGCUACGACUGACGUUGAGGCACGAAAGCGUGGGGAGCAAACAGGAUUAGAUACCCUGGUAGUC
rnacentral:rRNA from 1 species